GACGAACGCUGGCGGCGUGCUUAACACAUGCAAGUCGAACGGAAAGGCCCUGCUUUUGUGGGGUGCUCGAGUGGCGAACGGGUGAGUAACACGUGAGUAACCUGCCCUUGACUUUGGGAUAACUUCAGGAAACUGGGGCUAAUACCGGAUAGGAGCUCCUGCUGCAUGGUGGGGGUUGGAAAGUUUCGGCGGUUGGGGAUGGACUCGCGGCUUAUCAGCUUGUUGGUGGGGUAGUGGCUUACCAAGGCUUUGACGGGUAGCCGGCCUGAGAGGGUGACCGGCCACAUUGGGACGGAGAGACGGCCCAGACUCCUACGGGAGGCAGCAGUGGGGAAUAUUGCACGAUGGGCGGAAGCCUGAUGCAGCAACGCCGCGUGCGGGAUGACGGCCUUCGGGUGGUAAACCGCUUUCGCCUGUGACGAAGCGUGGGUGACGGUAAUGGGGAAAGAAGCACCGGCUAACUACGU
rnacentral:rRNA from 1 species